CGAACGAUGAACCACUUCGGUGGGGAUUAGUGGCGAACGGGUGAGUAACACGUGGGCAAUCUGCCCUGCACUCUGGGACAAGCCCUGGAAACGGGGUCUAAUACCGGAUACGAGUUCCACGGGCAUCCGUGGGACUGGAAAGCUCCGGCGGUGCAGGAUGAGCCCGCGGCCUAUCAGCUUGUUGGUGAGGUAAUGGCUCACCAAGGCGACGACGGGUAGCCGGCCUGAGAGGGCGACCGGCCACACUGGGACUGAGACACGGCCCAGACUCCUACGGGAGGCAGCAGUGGGGAAUAUUGCACAAUGGGCGAAAGCCUGAUGCAGCGACGCCGCGUGAGGGAUGACGGCCUUCGGGUUGUAAACCUCUUUCAGCAGGGAAGAAGCGAAAGUGACGGUACCUGCAGAAGAAGCGCCGGCUAACUACGUGCCAGCAGCCGCGGUAAUACGUAGGGCGCAAGCGUUGUCCGGAAUUAUUGGGCGUAAAGAGCUCGUAGGCGGCUUGUCGCGUCGGUUGUGAAAGCCCGGGGCUUAACCCCGGGUCUGCAGUCGAUACGGGCAGGCUAGAGUUCGGUAGGGGAGAUCGGAAUUCCUGGUGUAGCGGUGAAAUGCGCAGAUAUCAGGAGGAACACCGGUGGCGAAGGCGGAUCUCUGGGCCGAUACUGACGCUGAGGAGCGAAAGCGUGGGGAGCGAACAGGAUUAGAUACCCUGGUAGUCCACGCCGUAAACGGUGGGCACUAGGUGUGGGCAACAUUCCACGUUGUCCGUGCCGCAGCUAACGCAUUAAGUGCCCCGCCUGGGGAGUACGGCCGCAAGGC
rnacentral:rRNA from 1 species